rnacentral:rRNA from 1 species
AUACGUAGGUGCCAAGCGUUAUCCGGAUUUACUGGGCGUAAAGGGCGUGUAGGCGGUCUUGCAAGUCAGAAGUGAAAUUCCUGAGCUCAACUCGGGCGCUGCUUCUGAAACUGCAGGACUUGAGUGCUGGAGGGGAUAGCGGAAUUCCUAGUGGAGCGGUAAAAUGCGCAGAUAUUAGGAAGAACACCGGUGGCGAAGGCGGCUUUCUGGACAAUAACUGACGCUGAGGCGCGAAAGCGUGGGGAGCAAACAGGAUUAGAUCCCCUGGUAGUCCACGCUGUAAACGAUGAAUACAAGGUGUAGGGGGUAUCGACUCCCUCUGUGCCGCAGUUAACACAAUAAGUGAUCCGCCUGGGGACUACGGCCGCAAGGUUGAAACUCAAAUGAAUUGACGGGG